CUUUUGUGUGUUAGCACUAGGGAGCGAACUGGCAUCCCUCACGGUUUGGUGACACUUCAGGCAUUUGCUGGGCUUACAAAUGUGUGGCGUCAGCCGCGGGAGGCCAGGGAGCCCAGACUCCAGCUGUGCGGGGCAGGUUUUGUCACAGAAGUGUGCAGAGCAUCCCGAGCAUUUCAUAGAAUACCCCGAGUUGGAAGGAACCCACAAGGAUCAUCGAGUCCAACUCCUGGCUCCACACAGGACCACCCAAAAACCAGACCAUAUGUCUGAGAGCCUUGUCCAAGCACUUCCUGAACUCCAGCAGCCUUGGUUUUGGUUUCACAUCUGCUGAGAUAUGGGAUUGAAGCAGUACCAAGGAACUAAGAGAAUUGGAAGGAGAGUCAGAGGAGCACCGAGGCACUGCCCAGAGAGACAUUGGGGAGUUAAUUGACAGAGGCUUACAGCCAUCGAGAAGCUUAGCAAGAAACGAAUAGAAAAGCUGGAGGAUGCGAAGCAUAUCUGGAGCACUGCACAGAUCAAAAAAUUCUUUAGCAAGCUUGCAAUCUUACAGCGAUGUGUGGGAGACCUCCUAAAGAUUUCUAAUUUAAGAGUACCCGAGCUGUACUUCCAGGUUUAUGUUAGCUACUUUUCCUACCCCCCUCCCCACCCCCCUCCCCAAAUUGUUUUUCUCCUUUCAUUUCCUAAUGGACCUCCUACCAACACUUUAAUAGCAGCAUUUGUUUGGUGACAACAUCCCUGGAGGCUACAGCCAGGGUAGUUUGUUCAUCCAGCUCAGAAACCAAAUACAAUAGCGCAGGAUUUUCUCUUGCUUGAUAGAUGUGACCCAUAAGAGGGGGGAAAAUAUAUGUCCUGGAAUUUUUUGUUUUCUCGUGGCAUAGUGCUGUAUGAUGGAUUUAUCUUAAUUCCACUCCCCACCCCCAAUCUUUUGCCCUUGUUCAUGCUCUUUCUGCUGUGUAGGUAAUAAUGCUGCAGAGAUUUCACACCUCAAACCAGAAAGGAAUGCUGAGCUACUGAGGAGAAUUUAAAAAAUGGAGUAAAGGGGAAAGAUUUAAAGAAAGGAUUUUAGAAGAAAUUUUAUUCAGACUGUGUGAAAGCUCUUCUGAGAUUGAGCCCAAACUCCUGAGCAAUAUAGGGGCGAAAAGCUCAAUUUGUUAAAGAUUUGUGUUCUCCUGUAUCUUCUGACUACAGAACUCAUGUCACUUCUUUGGUCCCCAGCAAAGUCCUCUAGCAAAUGAAGGGUGGGGGAAACCCUCAUUUUUGAUAUUUGUGAGAUAAAAAAAAGAAAAAGAAGCUCUAAAGCACCUAACAUAACCUUUGUAAAGCACUAAGAAGUAAAAAUAUAUAUAUUUGUAGUCACUCAUAAAUGCCAGAUACAGUGCACAUGCAUUUUUAUUUUACACAGAUUUGUUGGUUGGAUAUUGUUAAUCAACAGCACAACAGUGCUAACCUGGAAAUGACAGGUACUUUUUGUGUUGGACGUUUUCGGUGUUAAACCUUUUGAUUUUUUCCAAUUUCUUAAUGAAAGAAUGAGAUAAUAAAUAUUGUUCCUGUCUUUUCUCCAGA